GGCUGAGUGGCAGAGUGGUCAUGCAGCGGAUUGCAAAUCCGUCUACGCCGGUUCGAUUCCGACCUCAGCCUCCA
rnacentral:tRNA from 3 species